AUAUCAAGGGCUGAUGGGAAACAUGUGUCCCAAGGAUUAACAGCCGUGUAAAAGAUAAAGCCAUGAGGUAAACCUCCAAACAGCACAUUUCAAAUAACCCUUCAUGGCUGCAAUCCGUGUUAUCAGGGCAACCAGGAGUGGGAUGGGGAAGGUAAAAUGUAUAUGGUAGCUCAUGGUGCUCCAAAAUCCUUGGGAUGGGCUUAGUUCUUGGGUUUUUCUCCCAGCAAGGUGAUGCCCAGGAAUGCCAGCUGCACGCACAGGGGUGACGUCAACUCCUUCUUCCCCUGUUUCUUCCUCCCUUUCCACCUCUUCUCCUUCUUCUAAUUUUUUUCCCUUUUUUUUUCUCUUUUUUUUUUUUCUUUUUUUUUUUUUUCCCAGGCCCCAGUUUCUCCCCUGUCGAGGCAAACGCUUUGGCUAAUUAGCAAAACGUGUCAAAGAAAAUGAUUAAUGUCCCGGGAGGAGGCUGAGCCGCCUUUGUGCCGGCAUUGCCUGACUUCUGCUCUUAAAGGUUUUAUUAAAAGAUAAGGGAGCUCGUGACGGGGAACCUCGCGUGCUGCUGAUUCAGAAACAAACCUGAGGAGCGGUUGGCACUGACGGCAGUGGUGAGGAGAUGUGCAGAGCCCGGGGCUUGCAGGGGAGUUCUGGGGGCAGGGCAAGGAGCUGGGAUGCACAGCUCUGCUGCAGAUCCCCCUCGUCUGAGCUGCUGAAGGACCCCUGGCUGAGCAAAGAGCUGCCGAGGUUCUUUGGAAACACCGUUCCCUUGAUCAAGAUCUUCAGCGAAGGCAAAUAGCAGCUCGUCUCUGCAACACCCAAACAUCAGCAACUAAUUUGGACCACCGAAAGGAAAAAGGGGGAGGAAAAAAAAUAAAAGAAAAGAAAGAGAAAGAAGAGGAAGAGGGAGGGGAGGGAAGAAAAUCAGAUACACUUGUAACCUGAUUACAACAGCCAGCUAUGUGUGCAAAAUCACAAUGCAGCUCUAUAAUUAAAUCUCUCUUUCCCCCUCCUGCCGAGCUCUUUCCUCUAACAGGCGCGGUACAAAAACAGUCGUUAGGACAUCAAAUUCCAGCUCCGACAAGAGGGGACUUUUUUGUCUAAAGCCUCUCGGCUCGUCUUUAAGGAAAUAAUAAUUAUAAGCCCAGUGCUGCUGGCUGACGAGCUUUGUGGAGCAGAAAGGGCUCGUCUUGUCCAACCACCCCUUCCCCCACAGGGAGGGCUGGGUGAUGGGAAAAGAGACGGGACAGCCCUGGGAGCCAGCCCUGGACAGCCCCUCCUUGUGCUGGAUCCAGGGGCAGAGGAAGCCCUGGGGUCUACAGGAUGCUCAGAGUCACAGAGACCUCAUCCCCUCUUACCCUGCUGAAUCCACCUCAUGUGUUUCAGCACCAGCAGUUUGGUGGCACAGGGCACUCCCGGGUGGGUGUGGAUGUUUGGGAGUGCAUAAAGCACCUGUGAGGGCUGUGGGGAGCCAGCAGCUUCAUGGACAGCGAGAGAACUGCCACAGCAUUUCCCCAAGGGUUUCUACCCUGCCUGGAGCUUGGCUUCUCCAGCCAGAUCUGGGCUGCAGGGGGAUGGGGGGAUGCCAUGGAAGGGAUCAGGUCAGUGAACCCCAAAGGCAGCAGGGAAGGGAGCCCCAGCACAGUGGAUGGGGGUGGGGAGCAGUGCUGGCAGCCUUUGCCCAGCCCUGCCUGUUGAUGACUUGGAUUUACUCCACAUUGGUCACAGAGAGCUAUUCCCAUCCCUGUGACACCCAGCACGUGCUU